rnacentral:rRNA from 1 species
UACGUAGGGGGCAAGCGUUGUCCGGAUUUAUUGGGCGUAAAGAGCGUGUAGGCGGCCAUACAGGUCCGUUGUGAAAACUGGAGGCUUAACCUCCAGACGUCGAUGGAAACCGUAUGGCUAGAGUCCGGAAGGGGAGACUGGAAUUCCUGGUGUAGCGGUGAAAUGCGUAGAUAUCAGGAGGAACACCUGUGGCGAAAGCGGCUCACUGGACCAUAACUGACGCUGAUGCACGAAAGCUAGGGGAGCAAACAGG